CUGGUUCUGUAUCUGUGGAGAUUGGUCCUGUCCCCACUCAGAAGGUGACUGAAACUGGUUCUCUAUCUGUGGAGGUUGGUCCUGUCCCCACUCAGAAGGUGACUGAAACUGGUUCUGUAUCUGUGGAGGUUGGUCCUGUACCCACUCAGAAGGUGACUGACACUGGUUCUGUAUCUGUGGAGGUUGGUCCUGUCCCCACUCAGAAGGUGACUGAAACUGGUUCUCUAUCUGUGGAGGUUGGUCCCGUCCCUACUCAGAAGGUGACUGAAACUGGUUCUUUAUCUGUGGAGGUUGGUCCUGUCCCCACUCAGAAGGUGACUGUAACUUAUUCUACAUCUGUUGGAGCCAGUCAUCCACAUGCUCAGGCUAAGAAAGUGACUGUAUCUAGUCCUCCCGUGUUGAGCUCUGUCACAGCUGAGAAACUUCCUCUCCCUAGUCCCUUGUCUUUAUCGAGCAUUCAGCCUUCUCCCAGUACGGAUGUCAGGCCUAUGUCAGUUUCCCGUCCGGGUCAGAUUAGCUCUCAACAUUCCAAUAUGGUUUUGAAGAGGUUGAAGUCACGUCUUUACCCUGGUGAACAAUCCACUCAGAAGCUAAUUGCAUGUUUGCGUAAACCAGGCUGUGCGUUUAAGGGUGUACGUUUCUAAACUUUUUGUUUUUAAUA
ensembl:lincRNA